rnacentral:rRNA from 1 species
UACGGAGGAUCCGAGCGUUAUCCGGAUUUAUUGGGUUUAAAGGGAGCGUAGGUGGAUUGUUAAGUCAGUUGUGAAAGUUUGCGGCUCAACCGUAAAAUUGCAGUUGAAACUGGCGUUCUUGAGUGAGCGAGAAGUAUGCGGAAUGCGUGGUGUAGCGGUGAAAUGCUUAGAUAUCACGAAGAACUCCGAUUGCGAAGGCAGCUCACUGGACUGCAACUGACACUGAGGCUCGAAAGUGUGGGUAUCAAACAGG